GAUGAACGCUAGCGGCGUGCUUAACACAUGCAAGUCGAACGAUGAAGCCCAGCUUGCUGGGUGGAUUAGUGGCGAACGGGUGAGUAACACGUGAGUAACCUGCCCUUAACUCUGGGAUAAGCCUGGGAAACUGGGUCUAAUACCGGAUAGGAGCGUCCACCGCAUGGUGGGUGUUGGAAAGAUUUAUCGGUUUUGGAUGGACUCGCGGCCUAUCAGCUUGUUGGUGAGGUAAUGGCUCACCAAGGCGACGACGGGUAGCCGGCCUGAGAGGGUGACCGGCCACACUGGGACUGAGACACGGCCCAGACUCCUACGGGAGGCAGCAGUGGGGAAUAUUGCACAAUGGGCGAAAGCCUGAUGCAGCGACGCCGCGUGAGGGAUGACGGCCUUCGGGUUGUAAACCUCUUUCAGUAGGGAAGAAGCGAAAGUGACGGUACCUGCAGAAGAAGCACCGGCUAACUACGUG
rnacentral:rRNA from 1 species